ACCAAGAAAUGCUUCAGGACCGGCAGACGUGCAUGAUUCCCCAGUGACAGCAGGACUACAAAAGCCAUUCACAACAUCCCUGUUGAUUCCACUUUACUUCUUGCUUGCUCAUAAACCUGCAAAAGGAUUAACCAAGAAGUUUCACAGAAAUCGCCACAGUAUUCUUUCUAACCCUUCUCUUGCUGCCCUGGUGCAACCAAAUUCCUAUUGAAAACACUGGAUAUUUGGAGCACACAACACUUCUUCCUAAAGCAGAGGAAAGGGGCAGAAGGUGGUUUGUCAGCACGUACUCAACUUCUGAUCAAUAUGUAUUCCACUUCUGGUCUGCAUGUAUCAUUUUAUACUAGUCAACUGUGUGCUCCGGUAGACUUUGGCAUCUUGGAUUGGAAAGCAGGAAGAUAUGGCACACGAUUCCCCUCCAAUACCCUAGAAUAACAGCAAUCCAACAUGUCAACUUAGAGGAAAGCAGUACAGCUGACAGACAACACAUCAUGAUCAGAGUGAUGGGUAUCUAUGGGGCAAGUGAAUAAAGACUC
rnacentral:lncRNA from 1 species